GUAGUCGGUUUUACAUCAAUCCACAUGUGUUGAGGUAGAUUGGAGUGAAAUUUAAACUAAAUUUCACCCUUAUCUACUCUAACACAUGUGGAUCGAGGCGAGUCCGAUA
rfam:Sorghum bicolor cultivar BTx623 chromosome 2, whole genome shotgun sequence.